UUAAUAUUGACAACGGUUCUCUAGAAAAAAACUCUACCAUGGAAAAAAAAACACAGAGUUAUUAAACAACCAAUGCCAUAGGAAGAAAACACAUGGGAUUCCUCAACCACUAGGAGUAAAUUAAUGCGAUGGAUGGAUAGCUUUAAUGACGUUUGUACCUGCCUUUCCACCCAUACGUACUAGUAUCCAUAAAUGCAUGUAUACAUUAACAUACCUGGUUGCCCUCUAUUUAAAUACAACAUAUCUAUAUUUCUUUGCCAACCAACCUAUUCCGAUAUCUAUUUACCAAAAAUACUCAGGCAGAAAGACUGAUUUACUAGAAUUAGGGGUCAAAUGAGAGAGUAUAGGCAGCAUCUUGUCUACAUGCGGAUUGACGGCUUAUUCAGGAAAAUAAUUUGAAGCGGCUUUGGAGGCAAAUAACCCGGAAGCUUAUUACUUAGAAGGUCUAAGUUCUUGAACGCAUGGGGGUGCAAAACGGCACAGCGUGCGCCCAAACGUGGAAUGGCGCCGUCCCAGAUUGUUCAGAAAUCCAUAACAUAUACAACUGCUAUGAAGAGUAGUACAUAUUUUGGUGUUUCAAGGAAUUUUGUCACCGUUGUUAGGUAGCACUAUGAAUAAGAUCUAACAUGUUGGUCCUUCGUUAUUUUCAAAAAUAUGUUGUUGUUUUCUUUAUCCCAGUAUGUAUAAUAUGUUGUUGUUUCUUGUUU